AAACCUUUUGCACAGUUUGACAAUGUACCUGGGGUCCACCAGGAGCUUUCCGCAAUUUCCUUUGGAGGCGGAAGCUCCUUGAAGUAACUCCAUUGAGCUAAGCUCUGUCAUGUACUGCACAUCAUUUGAAAAAAGAGCAUCAACUGAGCGUUCUCCGCCAAUGAACAACUGCAAUGCCAUGCUUAGUUCAGUGGAGAGCUGUCCAGCAGCAGAAGAGGC